GACGAACGCUGGCGGCGUGCUUUACACAUGCAAGUCGAACGGUGAAGGUGGAGCUUGCUCCGCCGGAUCAGUGGCGAACGGGUGAGUAACACGUGGGCAACCUGCCCCUAACUUUGGGAUAACUACUCGAAAGAGUAGCUAAUACCGGAUAUGAAGUCUGUAGGCAUCUACGGACUUGGAAAGUUUUUCGGUUAGGGAUGGGCCCGCGGCCUAUCAGCUUGUUGGUGAGGUAGUGGCUCACCAAGGCGACGACGGGUAGCCGGCCUGAGAGGGCGACCGGCCACACUGGGACUGAGACACGGCCCAGACUCCUACGGGAGGCAGCAGUGGGGAAUAUUACGCAAUGGGCGAAAGCCUGACGCAGCAACGCCGCGUGCGGGAUGAAGGCCUUCGGGUUGUAAACCGCUUUCAGCACCGACGAAGCGCAAGUGACGGUAGGUGCAGAAGAAGGACCGGCCAACUACGUGCCAGCAGCCGCGGUAA
rnacentral:rRNA from 1 species